UACAGAGGUCUCGAGCGUUGUUCGGAUUCAUUGGGCGUAAAGGGUGCGUAGGUGGCGCCGUAAGUCGGGUGUGAAAUUUCGGAGCUUAACUCCGAAACUGCAUUCGAUACUGCGGUGCUCGAGGACUGGAGAGGAGACUGGAAUUCAUGGUGUAGCAGUGAAAUGCGUAGAGAUCAUGAGGAAGACCAGUGGCGAAGGCGGGUCUCUGGACAGUUCCUGACACUGAGGCACGAAGGCCAGGGGAGCAAACGGG
rnacentral:rRNA from 1 species